rnacentral:rRNA from 1 species
UAGGGAAUCUUCGGCAAUGGACGAAAGUCUGACCGAGCACCGCCGCGUGCGUGAAGAAGGUUUUCGGAUCGUAAAACUCUGUUGUUAGAGAAGAACAAGGACGUUAGUAACUGAACGUCCCCUGACGGUAUCUAACCAGAAAGCCACGGCUAACUACGUGCCAGCAGCCGCGGUAAUACGUAGGUGGCAAGCGUUGUCCGGAUUUAUUGGGCGUAAAGCGAGCGCAGGCGGUUUCUUAAGUCUGAUGUGAAAGCCCCCGGCUCAACCGGGGAGGGUCAUUGGAAACUGGGAGACGUGAGUGCAGAAGAGGAGAGUGGAAUUCCAUGUGUAGCGGUGAAAUGCGUAGAUAUAUGGAGGAACACCAGUGGCGAAGGCGGCUCUCUGGUCUGUAACUGACGCUGAGGCUCGAAAGCGUGGGGAGCAAACAGG